UGGGGAAUAUUGCACAAUGGGCGCAAGCCUGAUGCAGCCAUGCCGCGUGUAUGAAGAAGGCCUUCCGGUUGUAAAGUACUUUCAGCGGGGAGGAAGGUGUUGUGGUUAAUAACCACAGCAAUUGACGUUACCCGCAGAAGAAGCACCGGCUAACUCCGUGCCAGCAGCCGCGGUAAUACGGAGGGUGCAAGCGUUAAUCGGAAUUACUGGGCGUAAAUCGCACGCAGGCGGUCUGUCAAGUCGGAUGUGAAAUCCCCGGGCUCAACCUGGGAACUGCAUCCGAAACUGGCAGGCUUGAGUCUUGUAGAGGGGGGUAGAAUUCCAGGUGUAGCGGUGAAAUGCGUAGAGAUCUGGAGGAAUACCGGUGGCGAAGGCGGCCCCCUGGACAAAGACUGACGCUCAGGUGCGAAAGCGUGGGGAGCAAACA
rnacentral:rRNA from 1 species